rnacentral:rRNA from 1 species
CCUACGGGAGGCAGCAGUGAGGAAUAUUGGUCAAUGGGCGCAAGCCUGAACCAGCCAAGUCGCGUGAGGGAUGACGGUCCUAUGGAUUGUAAACCUCUUUUGUCGGGGAGCAAGGCCCGCCACGUGUGGCGGGAAGGAGAGUACCCGAAGACAAAGCAUCGGCUAACCCCGUGCCAGCAGCCGCGGUAAUACGGAGGAUGCGAGCGUUAUCCGGAUUUAUUGGGUUUAAAGGGUGCGUAGGCGGAAGGUUAAGUCAGCGGUAAAAUGUCGGUGCUCAACACCGGCCUGCCGUUGAAACUGGUCUUCUUGAGUGAGCGAGAAGUAGGCGGAAUGCGUGGUGUAGCGGUGAAAUGCAUAGAUAUCACGCAGAACUCCGAUUGCGAAGGCAGCAUUCCGGCGCUCAACUGACGCUGAGGCACGAAAGCGUGGGGAUCGAACAGGAUUAGAUACCCGAGUAGUC